ACGCACGCUGGCGGCGUGCUUAACACCUGCAAGUCGAACGGAAAGGCCCUGCUUUUGUGGGGUGCUCGAGUGGCGAACGGGUGAGUAACACGUGAGUAACCUGCCCUUGACUUUGGGAUAACUUCAGGAAACUGGGGCUAAUACCGGAUAGGAGCUCCUGCUGCAUGGUGGGGGUUGGAAAGUUUCGGCGGUUGGGGAUGGACUCGCGGCUUAUCAGCUUGUUGGUGGGGUAGUGGCUUACCAAGGCUUUGACGGGUAGCCGGCCUGAGAGGGUGACCGGCCACAUUGGGACUGAGAUACGGCCCAGACUCCUACGGGAGGCAGCAGUGGGGAAUAUUGCACAAUGGGCGGAAGCCUGAUGCAGCAACGCCGCGUGCGGGAUGACGGCCUUCGGGUUGUAAACCGCUUUCGCCUGUGACGAAGCGUGAGUGACGGUAAUGGGUAAAGAAACACCGGCUAACUACGUG
rnacentral:rRNA from 1 species